rnacentral:rRNA from 1 species
CACGUAGGGCGCAAGCGUUGUCCGGAAUUACUGGGCGUAAAGGGCUCGUAGGCGGCCAACUAAGUCCGACGUGAAAUCCCCAGGCUUAACCUGGGAACUGCGUCGGAUACUGGAUGGCUUGAAUUCGGGAGAGGGAUGCAGAAUUCCAGGUGUAGCGGUGAAAUGCGUAGAUAUCUGGAGGAAUACCGGUGGCGAAGGCGGCAUCCUGGACCGACAUUGACGCUGAUGAGCGAAAGCUAGGGGAGCAAACGGG